AGAGUUUGAUCCUGGCUCAGGACGAACGCUGGCGGCGUGCUUAACACAUGCAAGUCGAACGGAAAGGCCCUGCUUUUGUGGGGUGCUCGAGUGGCGAACGGGUGAGUAACACGUGAGUAACCUGCCCUUGACUUUGGGAUAACUUCAGGAAACUGGGGCUAAUACCGGAUAGGAGCUCCUGCUGCAUGGUGGGGGUUGGAAAGUUUCGGCGGUUGGGGAUGGACUCGCGGCUUAUCAGCUUGUUGGUGGGGUAGUGGCUUACCAAGGCUUUGACGGGUAGCCGGCCUGAGAGGGUGACCGGCCACAUUGGGACUGAGAUACGGCCCAGACUCCUACGGGAGGCAGCAGUGGGGAAUAUUGCACAAUGGGCGGAAGCCUGAUGCAGCAACGCCGCGUGCGGGAUGACGGCCUUCGGGUUGUAAACCGCUUUCGCCUGUGACGAAGCGUGAGUGACGGUAAUGGGUAAAGAAGCACCGGCUAACUACGUGCCAGCAGCCGCGGUGAUACGUAGGGUGCGAGCGUUGUCCGGAUUUAUUGGGCGUAAAGGGCUCGUAGGUGGUUGAUCGCGUCGGAAGUGUAAUCUUGGGGCUUAACCCUGAGCGUGCUUUCGAUACGGGUUGACUUGAGGAAGGUAGGGGAGAAUGGAAUUCCUGGUGGAGCGGUGGAAUGCGCAGAUAUCAGGAGGAACACCAGUGGCGAAGGCGGUUCUCUGGGCCUUUCCUGACGCUGAGGAGCGAAAGCGUGGGGAGCGAACAGGCUUAGAUACCCUGGUAGUCCACGCUGUAAACGGUGGGUACUAGGUGUGGGGUCCAUUCCACGGGUUCCGUGCCGUAGCUAACGCUUUAAGUACCCCGCCUGGGGAGUACGGCCGCAAGGCUAAAACUCAAAGGAAUUGACGGGGCCCCGCACAAGCGGCGGAGCAUGCGGAUUAAUUCGAUGCAACGCGUAGAACCUUACCUGGGUUUGACAUGGAUCGGGAGUGCUCAGAGAUGGGUGUGCCUCUUUUGGGGUCGGUUCACAGGUGGUGCAUGGCUGUCGUCAGCUCGUGUCGUGAGAUGUUGGGUUAAGUCCCGCAACGAGCGCAACC
rnacentral:rRNA from 3 species